rnacentral:tRNA from 1 species
GAGGAUAUAGCUCAAGUGGUAGAGCACAUGCUUAACAUGCAUGAGGUCCUGGGUUCAAUCCCUAGUACCUCCU